UACGUAGGGGGCAAGCGUUGUCCGGAUUUAUUGGGCGUAAAGAGCGUGUAGGCGGCCAGGUAGGUCUGGUGUGAAAACUCGAGGCUUAACCUCGAGAUGUCAUCGGAAACCAUCUGGCUAGAGUCCGGAAGAGGAGAGUGGAAUUCCUGGUGUAGAGGUGAAAUUCGUAGAUAUCGAGAAGAACACCGGUGGCGAAGGCGGCCAUCUGGACAGAUACUGACGCUGAGACGCGAAAGCGUGGGGAGCAAACAGG
rnacentral:rRNA from 1 species